rnacentral:sRNA from 1 species
AAAUCCACAUACAGUUUUAACAUGAAAACAACUUCUGGAACAAACGUUAAUACAUCAAUUCCCAAUGUCACAGAAGUAAAGGAGAACAUGACAUUUGGAUCAACUUUAGUCACCAACCCAAACGGAGGAUUUCUGGCAUGUGGGCCCUUAUAUGCCUAUAGAUGUGGACAUUUGCAUUACACAACUGGAAUCUGUUCUGACGUCAGCCCUACAUUUCAAGUCGUGAAUUCCAUUGCCCCUGUACGAGAAUGCAGCACUCAACUGGACAUAGUCAUAGUGCUGGAUGGUUCCAACAGUAUUUACCCAUGGGACAGUGUUACAGCUUUUUUAAAUGACCUUCUUGAAAGAAUGGAUAUUGGUCCUAAACAGACACAGGGCUCUACUUUGGGAGAAGUUUCUGAGGCACUGAAAAAGCGGUCUGACUGCGUUAAUGUUUGCCACACCUACUUUAAAUUUGGAACAUAAUACAUGCACAUAUAUAUACAUACAUGUGUCUUCAUGUGUCUGUGUAUAUUUAUGUCUCUUAAUAUUUUAAUAUCUAUGUAUACAUAAUU